CACAAAACUCAUUUCAAAUAAAUUUAGGCACAACAUUGUUACAAAAUUUCAGUUCCAAUCUGAAACAUUUUUAGUAAUUGAAAUAUUACUGAAUUCAAAACUUUUCUCUGUCUCCAAGAGAAAAAAGGUUCCAUUAGAAAAAUGCAGAAAGCGGUGAAUGCGUGGACAUCCCACAACUCGAAAAAUUAUUCCCGUUUCGAAUUGAUAAAUUGGGUGAAUAAUAAACUUUGUAUCAAUCUUGUCAACGUUGAAGAAAUGAAAACUGGAUCGAAGUAUUGCGAAAUGUUUGAUUUGCUCUUUAGGGGAAUUAUUAACCUUAAUAAAGUGAAGAAGAAUUCCACCUUUGAACGUCACUAUAUAAGUAAUUUCAAGAUCUUUCAAAACGCCCUGAGGAAGGUAGGGAUAGUGAAGGAACUCGCAAUAGUUAAACUAGCAGCAGGAAGCUAUAGUGAAAACUACGAGCUAUUACAAUGGUUCCGCAAAUUUUAUGAGGCGAAUUCUAGUCAAGAUGAAGUGGAGAAAAAAGUUCCCUGCCCUUUAAUUGGUGAUAAUUUGGUGACCUCAUUUGAACUAAAUCAGUCGUUAAAAGAGGUCGGGGUAAAAAGUAAGUCAAGUAAGUCUAGUUUGAAUAAGGGCACAUUAUCUCGUACUAUUGUGUCCCUGCAGACAAGUUGUGAUGAGAACGUCUAUCCCUAAGUAAGUGACUAUAUCAUAAGCACAUUCUUCAUACAACUUUUACCACCGAAUUAGUUCCCGAACAUAUAUUAUGGCACAUGAAGAAAAGUAAAUAAAUCCAAAGUGCAAAAUUUGUUAUUUAUUUGGUUAAUCAAUGAGUAAUCAACAACAAAUUUCACAUGACCAUGUUACUAAUAUGUUAUUAUUGGAUUUCAUGUUGUCUUAAGUUAAUGAAGUAUGCCUUGGGAUGCUUUUUUACUACGAGUGAUUGGUAUAAGUUGAAACCAAAAGAGAACACCACGUUGGUAACAUCUAGUAACGUAGCCGACAAAAGAAAGGCCUGCAUGAAUCAACAUAGAGAAAUUUAAUAACUUUAAUACCUUGAGAAGUGAGAGAAAUAAUUGGAAGAAAACAAUAAUGAUAUUUAUUUUUAACUGAUUUUUAUUACUGAUGUUGGCCGAAAUAUAUAUUUUUAUGUUUC